rnacentral:rRNA from 1 species
CCCUUAGAUGUUCUGGGCCGCACGCGCGCUACACUGUUCGACGCAGCGAGUCUUAACCUUGACCGAAAGGUUUGGGUAAUCUUCAGCAAAGUCGAACGUGAUGGGGAUCGAUCAUUGCAAUUAUUGAUCGUGAACGAGGAAUUCCUAGUAAGUGCAAGUCAUCAGCUUGCGCUGAUUACGUCCCUGCCCUUUGUACACACCGCCCGUCGCUACUACCGAUUGAAUGGUUUAGUGAGAUCUCUGGAUUGACGCUGGCUAGGGGGCGACCCUUGGCCAGACUGUUGAGAAACAGCUCAAACUUGAUCAUUUAGAGGAAGUAAAAGUCGUAACA